rnacentral:tRNA from 1 species
UCUCUGGUGGCUCAGAUGGUAAAGCAUCUGCCUGCAAUGCGGGAGACCCGGGUUCGAUUCCUGGGUCGGGAA